UACGUAGGGUGCAAGCGUUGUCCGGAAUUAUUGGGCGUAAAGAGCUCGUAGGCGGUUUGUUGCGUCUGCCGUGAAAGUCCGGGGCUCAACUCCGGAUCUGCGGUGGGUACGGGCAGACUAGAGUGAUGUAGGGGAGACUGGAAUUCCUGGUGUAGCGGUGAAAUGCGCAGAUAUCAGGAGGAACACCGGUGGCGAAGGCGGUUCUCUGGGCAUGAUCUGACGCUGAGGAGCGAAAGUGUGGGGAGCGAACAGG
rnacentral:rRNA from 1 species